rnacentral:rRNA from 1 species
AUUGAACGCUGGCGGAAUGCUUUACACAUGCAAGUCGAACGGCAGCACGGGAGCUUGCUCCUGGUGGCGAGUGGCGAACGGGUGAGUAAUGCAUCGGAACGUGCCCAUUUGUGGGGGAUAACUAGUCGAAAGACUAGCUAAUACCGCAUAAGCUCGAGAGAGGAAAGCGGGGGAUCCNNAAAGACCUCGCGCAGAUGGAGCGGCCGAUGUCCGAUUAGCUUGUUGGUGAGGUAAAGGCUCACCAAGGCGACGAUCGGUAGCUGGUCUGAGAGGACGACCAGCCACACUGGGACUGAGACACGGCCCAGACUCCUACGGGAGGCAGCAGUGGGGAAUUUUGGACAAUGGGGGCAACCCUGAUCCAGCCAUUCCGCGUGUGGGAAGAAGGCCUUCGGGUUGUAAACCACUUUCGGACGGGAAGAAAUCGACGUGACAAAUAAUCGUGUCGGAUGACGGUACCGUAAGAAGACUCACCGGCUAACUACGUG